AACGAACGCUGGCGGCAGGCUUAACACAUGCAAGUCGAGCGCCUCGCAAGAGGAGCGGCAGACGGGUGAGUAACGCGUGGGAAUCUACCGUGCCCUACGGAAUAGCUCCGGGAAACUGGAAUUAAUACCGUAUACGCCCUUCGGGGGAAAGAUUUAUCGGGGUAUGAUGAGCCCGCGUUGGAUUAGCUAGUUGGUGGGGUAAAGGCCUACCAAGGCGACGAUCCAUAGCUGGUCUGAGAGGAUGAUCAGCCACAUUGGGACUGAGACACGGCCCAAACUCCUACGGGAGGCAGCAGUGGGGAAUAUUGGACAAUGGGCGCAAGCCUGAUCCAGCCAUGCCGCGUGAGUGAUGAAGGCCCUAGGGUUGUAAAGCUCUUUCACCGGUGAAGAUAAUGACGGUAGCCGGAGAAGAAGCCCCGGCUAACUUCGUGCCAGCAGCCGCAGUAAAAC
rnacentral:rRNA from 1 species